rnacentral:rRNA from 1 species
AGCUCACUGGGCGAGUGAUCCUGCGCCGAAGAUUUCCGGGGCUAAAACUUACUACCGAAGCUACGGCAUCAGUAAUGAUGGGUAGGGGAGCUUCCCAUACGGGUUGAAGCAUGACCGUAAGGACAUGGGGACAGUAUGGGAGUGAGAAUGUUGGCAUGAGUAGCGAGAUGUGGGUGAGAAUCCCACAGGCCGUAAACCCAAGGUUUCCAGGGGAAGGUUCGUCCGCCCUG